ACACAGCAUCCCUGGAAGCCGAGACCCAACAACCCACUAUGCCUACAGGGUGGGGCCCCAAGGGAAACCCCAAACACAGAGGUUUGGGGGAGCACCCAGUCAAUGCUCCACACAUGGAUGCUGGGAAAGGAAUGCUGCCCUGACUCUGCGGGGAGAGGACCAGGGAAGAUCCACAUUUGGUACUUUCUUCAUCUCUGCACUGUGUGCCGCUUCCUUCGGUUGAUUUUUAUCUGGGCCCUUUAGCUGUAAUAAACCAUAGAUCAAGUAAGGCCAGCCAAGUUCAGCGUAACAGGAGUUUUAUGAGAAGGACCAAGGUAACCUCAAAGCCAAGAGUGACUUCAGGGGGAACACAAGUCUGACGGGAAGGCCAAGUACAGCAGGGAGACUAAGGAGGCGAGAGGGACAGGCGGCAGAGGCAGAGGCCAAAGAUGAGGCCCAUCGGCUCAGUUUUUUGGAAGGCAGGCCCAGACAUGAAAAAAGGAUGCCAGUGCUCUCUCUUCUCCUUCCACACAUCCCGGCUGUGACUCUCAGGCUAACACAACUGCCACACUGUUCACACAGGUUUGCAUGGAUACCCUGUGAAUGCAGCUACUGUUUACCCAUGUACAGCAGGGCCCCUAAGAAAACAUUUGUUGUGAAUCUCCAGUCCUUUCCCUCAGAGCAACCCCAGAAGUCCACUUCCUUAAUGGCCAGGCCCCUGCAGCCACCUCUGGACACCCAGGACAUCCUGGAGACCAGUGCUCAGAAUGACAAGCACGGUCUCCUCAGCCGACCAGACAAGCUUCCACAUACGCAGGAGAAACAUCUUUCAUCAUUCCAUCCAGCUAAAGUUGCAAGUUAUUACUGCUGCACGGUUAUGACUGCGAGAAAACAGAAAGAAAAUCUGGAAUAACAAAGACAUGGUUUAAGCACCAACCUAUCACUUACAAGCUCUAAGAGAUUUAAACACCAACUCAUCACUUAAAAGCUCUGUUAGAUAAUCUCUCAGAGCCUCAAUUUUCUUAUUUGCAAUAGGGACCGUAUAUACCUUUUAGGAUAGUCUGGAGGAUUAAAUAAAGUAACUUACUCAUGGCCAAACAUACCAUUCUCCCCAAUACACCCAGGCAUUUAUUCAACACCUAGUACAUGUAAGAAAAAAAUUAAAAAAAAAAAAAAAACAGAAAAAAAAACAUAGUACAUGCCAAGAUAUUAUGACAA